AUUGAACGCUGGCGGCAGGCCUAACACAUGCAAGUCGAGCGAGUGGCGGACGGGUGAGUAAUGUCUGGGGAACUGCCCGAUGGAGGGGGAUAACUACUGGAAACGGUAGCUAAUACCGCAUCCCAUCGGAUGUGCCCAUAUGGGAUUAGCUAGUAGGUGGGGUAAUGGCUCACCUAGGCGACGAUCCCUAGCUGGUCUGAGAGGAUGACCAGCCACACUGGAACUGAGACACGGUCCAGACGCCUACGGGAGGCAGCAGUGGGGAAUAUUGCACAAUGGGCGCAAGCCUGAUGCAGCCAUGCCGCGUGUAUGAAGAAGGCCUUCGGGUUGUAAAGUACUUUCAGCGAGGAGGCGUUACUCGCAGAAGAAGCACCGGCUAACUCCGUGCCAGCAGCCGCGGUAAUUC
rnacentral:rRNA from 1 species